UUAUGGCCACAUCACGUUGAAAACACUGGUUACCGUACGAUCACCGAAGUUAAGCAACAUCGAGACUGGUCAGUACCUAGAUGGGUGACCGCUUCAAAAUACCAAGUCCCGU